rnacentral:rRNA from 1 species
CCUACGGGAGGCAGCAGUGGGGAAUAUUGCGCAAUGGGCGAAAGCCUGACGCAGCGACGCCGCGUGAGGGAUGAAGGUCUUCGGAUCGUAAACCUCUGUCAGCAGGGAAGAACGGUCACUGUGCUAAUCAGCAGUGAAUUGACGGUACCUGCAAAGGAAGCACCGGCUAACUCCGUGCCAGCAGCCGCGGUAAUACGGAGGGUGCGAGCGUUAAUCGGAAUUACUGGGCGGAAGGGGCUCGUAGGCGGUAUGUCAAGUCAAGGGUGAAAUCCCCGCGCUCAACGUGGGAACUGCCUUUGAAAGUGGCAGACUGGAGUGUGUGAGAGGAUAGUGGAAUUCCAGGUGUAGGAGUGAAAUCCGUAGAUAUCUGGAGGAACAUCAGUGGCGAAGGCGACUAUCUGGCACAUAACUGACGCUGAGGAGCGAAAGCGUGGGUAGCAAACAGGAUUAGAUACCCGAGUAGUC